rnacentral:rRNA from 1 species
CGCAGCUACACAUGCAAGUCGAACGGGCGUAGCAAUACGUCAGUGGCAGACGGGUGAGUAACGCGUGGGAACGUACCUUUUGGUUCGGAACAACUGAGGGAAACUUCAGCUAAUACCGGAUAAGCCCUUACGGGGAAAGAUUUAUCGCCGAAAGAUCGGCCCGCGUCUGAUUAGCUAGUUGGUGAGGUAAUGGCUCACCAAGGCGACGAUCAGUAGCUGGUCUGAGAGGAUGAUCAGCCACAUUGGGACUGAGACACGGCCCAAACUCCUACGGGAGGCAGCAGUGGGGAAUAUUGGACAAUGGGGGAAACCCUGAUCCAGCCAUGCCGCGUGAGUGAUGAAGGCCCUAGGGUUGUAAAGCUCUUUUGUGCGGGAAGAUAAUGACGGUACCGCAAGAAUAAGCCCCGGCUAACUUCGUGCCAGCAGCCGCGGUAAUACGAAGGGGGCUAGCGUUGCUCGGAAUCACUGGGCGUAAAGGGUGCGUAGGCGGGUUUCUAAGUCAGAGGUGAAAGCCUGGAGCUCAACUCCAGAACUGCCUUUGAUACUGGAAGUCUUGAGUUCGGGAGAGGUGAGUGGAACUGCGAGUGUAGAGGUGAAAUUCGUAGAUAUUCGCAAGAACACCAGUGGCGAAGGCGGCUCACUGGCCCGAUACUGACGCUGAGGCACGA